AGUGGAAGCGUCUGGAAAGGCGCGCGAUACAGGGUGACAGCCCCGUACACAAAAGCGCAUGUGCUGUGAGCUCGAUGAGUAGGGCGGGACACGUGGUAUCCUGUCUGAAUAUGGGGGGACCAUCCUCCAAGGCUAAAUACUCCUGACUGACCGAUAGUGAACCAGUACCGUGAGGGAAAGGCGAAAAGAACCCCGGCGAGGGGAGUGAAAAAGAACCUGAAACCGUGUACGUACAAGCAGUGGGAGCCCCACCACCAAAGCAUUCUCUGGUGUUGAAGGCCCUGCAAAGCAGCAUCGCGGUGGCGGAGCGUCGUUUGCGACGCCCAACACACAAAACAAGCGGUGAAUGCUUUGGGGUGGGGUGACUGCGUACCUUUUGUAUAAUGGGUCAGCGACUUAUAUUCUGUAGCAAGGUUAACCGUAUAGGGGAGCCGGAGGGAAACCGAGUCUUAAUUGGGCGUUAAGUUGCAGGGUA
rnacentral:rRNA from 1 species